ACGGCUAGCGAAGGGGAGUAGCCCCCAAUCGUCGUGUCGACAUACUGGCGUCAGCCCGGCCGGCGAACCGGUCCACCGUGACCGGUGGGCGAGACCUUCGACCGGGUA
rnacentral:misc_RNA from 1 species